AGCGAACGCUGGCGGCAGGCCUAACACAUGCAAGUCGGACGGAUCCUUCGGGAUUAGUGGCGGACGGGUGAGUAACACGUGGGAACGUGCCCUUUGGUUCGGAACAACUCAGGGAAACUUGAGCUAAUACCGGAUGUGCCCUUCGGGGGAAAGAUUUAUCGCCAUUGGAGCGGCCCGCGUCUGAUUAGCUAGUUGGUGAGGUAAAGGCUCACCAAGGCGACGAUCAGUAGCUGGUCUGAGAGGAUGAUCAGCCACAUUGGGACUUGGACACGGCCCAAACUCCUACGGGAGGCAGCAGUGGGGAAUCUUGCGCAAUGGGCGAAAGCCUGACGCAGCCAUGCCGCGUGAAUGAUGAAGGUCUUAGGAUUGUAAAAUUCUUUCACCGGGGACGAUAAUGACGGUACCCGGAGAAGAAGCCCCGGCUAACUUCGUGCCAGCCGCCGCCGUAAUAC
rnacentral:rRNA from 1 species